rnacentral:rRNA from 1 species
UAGAGUUUGAUCCUGGCUCAGAUUGCCCUCUGGCGGCAGGCCUAACACAUGCAAGUCGAGCGGCAGCGGGAAAGUAGCUUGCUACUUUUGCCGGCGAGCGGCGGACGGGUGAGUAAUGCCUGGGGAUCUGCCCAGUCGAGGGGGAUAACUACUGGAAACGGUAGCUAAUACCGCAUACGCCCUACGGGGGAAAGCAGGGGACCUUCGGGCCUUGCGCGAUUGGAUGAACCCAGGUGGGAUUAGCUAGUUGGUGAGGUAAUGGCUCACCAAGGCGACGAUCCCUAGCUGGUCUGAGAGGAUGAUCAGCCACACUGGAAUUGAGACACGGUCCAGACUCCUACGGGAGGCAGCAGUGGGGAAUAUUGCACAAUGGGGGAAAUCCUGAUGCAGCCAUGCCGCGUGUGUGAAGAAGGCCUUCGGGUUGUAAAGCACUUUCAGCGAGGAGGAAAGGUUGGUAGCUAAUAACUGCCGGCUGUGACGUUACUCGCAGAAGAAGCACCGGCUAACUCCGUGCCAGCAGCCGCGGUAAUACGGAGGGUGCAAGCGUUAAUCGGAAUUACUGGGCGUAAAGCGCACGCAGGCGGUUGGAUAAGUUAGAUGUGAAAGCCCCGGGCUCAACCUGGGAAUUGCAUUUAAAACUGUCCAGCUAGAGUCUUGUAGAGGGGGGUAGAAUUCCAGGUGUAGCGGUGAAAUGCGUAGAGAUCUGGAGGAAUACCGGUGGCGAAGGCGGCCCCCUGGACAAAGACUGACGCUCAGGUGCGAAAGCGUGGGGAGCAAACAGG